GGUUAAGCGACUAAGCGUACACGGUGGAUGCCCUGGCAGUCAGAGGCGAUGAAGGACGUGCUAAUCUGCGAUAAGCGCCGGUAAGGUGAUAUGAACCGUUAUAACCGGCGAUUUCCGAAUGGGGAAACCCAGUGUGACUCGUCACACUAUCAUUAACUGAAUCCAUAGGUUAAUGAGGCGAACCGGGGGAACUGAAACAUCUAAGUACCCCGAGGAAAAGAAAUCAACCGAGAUUCCCCCAGUAGCGGCGAGCGAACGGGGAG
rnacentral:rRNA from 1 species